CGCGAAACCUUUACACUGCACGACAGUGCGAUAAGGGGACCCCGAGUGCGAGGGCAUACAGUCCUCGCUUUUGUGUACCGUAGGGAGGUACACGAAUAAGAGCUGGGCAAGACCGGUGCCAGCCGCCGCGGUAAUACCGGCAGCUCAAGUGAUGGCCGCUAUUAUUGGGCCUAAAGCGUCCGUAGCCGGCCGCACAGGUCCGUCGGGAAAUCCACCCGCCUAACGGGUGGGCGUCCGGCGGAAACUGUGCGGCUUGGGACCGGAAGACUCGAGGGGUACGUCCGGGGUAGGAGUGAAAUCCCGUAAUCCUGGACGGACCGCCGGUGGCGAAAGCGCCUCGAGAGGACGGAUCCGACGGUGAGGGACGAAAGCUAGGGUCUCGAACCGGAUUAGAUACCCGGGUAGUCCUAGCCGUAAACGAUGCUCGCUAGGUGUGACGCAGGCUACGAGCCUGCGCUGUGCCGUAGGGAAGCCGUGAAGCGAGCCGCCUGGGAAGUACGUCCGCAAGGAUGAAACUUAAAGGAAUUGGCGGGGGAGCACUACAACCGGAGGAGCCUGCGGUUUAAUUGG
rnacentral:rRNA from 1 species